AGAGUUUGAUCCUGGCUCAGAUUGAACGCUGGCGGCAUGCCUUACACAUGCAAGUCGAACGGCAGCGCGGGGCAACCUGGCGGCGAGUGGCGAACGGGUGAGUAAUAUAUCGGAACGUACCCUGGAGUGGGGGAUAACGUAGCGAAAGUUACGCUAAUACCGCAUACGAUCUAAGGAUGAAAGUGGGGGAUCGCAAGACCUCACGCUCCUGGAGCGGCCGAUAUCUGAUUAGCUAGUUGGUGGGGUAAAGGCCUACCAAGGCAUCGAUCAGUAGCUGGUCUGAGAGGACGACCAGCCACACUGGAACUGAGACACGGUCCAGACUCCUACGGGAGGCAGCAGUGGGGAAUUUUGGACAAUGGGCGCAAGCCUGAUCCAGCAAUGCCGCGUGAGUGAAGAAGGCCUUCGGGUUGUAAAGCUCUUUUGUCAGGGAAGAAACGGUGAAGGCUAAUAUCCUUUGCUAAUGACGGUACCUGAAGAAUAAGCACCGGCUAACUACGUGCCAGCAGCCGCGGUA
rnacentral:rRNA from 1 species